GUAGGUAUACGGAGGGCCCAAAUUUUAUAAUUCCAUUCACACAUCGUCACCACCAGAACUCUAGCUUCCCCUUCCCCUGAUCGAAAUUGAUGCUCCAAUGUGAAUCUGUUGAGUCCUUAGUUGGGAGAUCUUCGUCUCCUUCUUCUUAUGUGUUACUGCUAUUAUUAGCAGAAAUAAGUUCAGCAAGUUUGUUUACAGCCAUCGCUGAGGAACUGGAACCAGAAGAAGAUUAUCUUACUCUUGAAAAGUGAAUAGUGAAAAAGAAAAAGAAAAAACCGACAAAUGACAGGAAUACAACGAGUUCACUUUACGAGAUGUUGAUCGGUAGAAAUAAGACGAAGCGGCGUUGAGCUUUGUUUUAGUUUUUUGGUUUUUUAACCACUCACCACCCUGGAUCAAACAAAACAAAGCCAUGGCACUUGCAUGGUUCUACAACCACUGCCGAGCCUAGAAUCUGGAGUCCAGGGGCCCUGAAAUCUUGACUUCCUUUGUAAGUUGCAUUCCUGUGGAAUCUCAGACGGGGGAGAGGUCUGAUUACUCGUUCUAAUAAGCGGGGCUCCGGAGAUCAAUGAAGAAUUGAGAACCGGCGAAAGAACUGGAGAUACUAAACUCGAUGAGCAAAUCGAACUGGCGGCUAGUGAGUUUAUAGAAAACAAGUUCAACGAGGGCUUCCGAAUAGUGGGUAGAUCAGUUUUUGAAUACCUUCGGUGGACUGACAAUCGCAAGUUGGAGUUCCUCCGAGUCGGAAUCGAUCAACUCCAAAAGGGGAACACUCGAUACUGUAGAUCUUGCCGGAACACAGUUUACCCAGCUCUAGCUUCCAGAGCUGUAGGAGGGGGGAGCUCCCCGAGCGGAACGAGUCGCCGACAUACACAAUCCAAGUGAGCAGGAGCAUUGGUCUCGAGCCAUGGAAUAUCCUUCUUCGGGGAGUAACGGUUACGUAACUGGGAUGUGGAUCUGAAACUGCAUGGAUGGGGUCGAGCCCAAUGCUUGAUAGUACUGCAAAGUUUGGUUCUUUGUGCGUCGUGGAAAAAAAGCUCAUGAGACGCUCGAGAUGAAGUGUUUUGUUUCUUUGUUUUUCUUUAUUCUUUUCAUUUGCUUUGCUUUUUUUUUGCUUUUUUUGCUCUUUUACUUUUACUUUUACUUUUACUUUUUUUUUUUUUUUUGUGUUUCUGUGUUGUAUUGUGUUGUGUUUGUCUGUGUUUGUGUGUGUUUUCUUUGGUUUUGUUUUGCGAUUGUUUGGACCGAGAUUAGUUAGGCCGCGACGUGGUUUAGCACCAGUAGUAUAUAAACCCUUCCUGCACACAAGUGGCCACUGACUUGCUUGGACUUUGAGCCACAUUCAUCGCGCCUUAACUAAUAGCAGAUAGGUCCAGGAGCGAGUCCGAUUGCCAUACAACCAGUAAUUGUUGGAAUCAUCAAUGACUAAAUUAUACCAAAAAAAAUUAAAAACUAAUAUUGGAGACUUCCGUGGCCAGAGGGUCAAACUAGUUGAAGUCACGUUGAGGCCUCAUUCUCCUCGUGUGUCGCAAGGUGACCGAAUAGCAUGGGAGCCCUAUUACCCUAUGAAGGGGUUUUUUAGUGUUUUAUCAAGCAAGGCGAUGGCUAUGGAUGUGGACGAGUGCAGUAUGGAUGCCCUUAAGGUCAUGCCUUAAGGUUCUUAGAAGUUAAAUUGCGAUGGUCUUAAUGGUUCCCUUAAGGAUGGCAUUAAUGGUUCUUAAAUUGGAUUCUUAGAAGUUAAAUUGCGACGAAAAUCGGGUUGAGAAUCGAGGUUUGCCACCUGCUGGAGAGCGAGAGCGAGAGAGAGAGAGAGAGAGAGAGAUUUCUCGAGCUUGCAAAGCCACACAUGCAUCCAGUACUUCGGCAAGCACUUGGUCAUUGUUGUGAGAGCGUCGAGAAUUCAUUCUCUGUUGCGUGAGCGAGACUGUUGUUUCUUCAAGUAGCUUGAAAAAGCCACGAAUCGGGAUCAUACAUCUGGUAUCGAAACCUUUAAGUAUUCCAUUGUUUACAUCAAAUGUAUUCACACUGUGAGUAAAUUAGGUUCAAGGUCGGGAACAGGUGAUCAGAGUCUGCCAGAGGUCCCAUGUGUGUGAUCUCUGUCAGGAUCAGUACGCUUACAACGGACGCAUUGAAAAAGAGAUUAAAAGCAAGAUUAGAUGUUGAAUGGUUUGGGUGAUCAGCCGACUCUUUCUUUGGGUCGCUGGCACAAGCAACAUCACCGACAGUUUGUACCUCCCAAGCAGACGUUAACGCCUGAACGGGUCACAUUUAAUAUCCCUGAAUAAGUUCUUGGGCAUAUUGCCACAGGGGAGGGGGAGUGCAACUUCGAAUGUCGCUUACCAUAUCGAGAAAACUAUGUGUGAACACCCAGGCGAGUGAGAUGUUAACCAAAAAGUUGGUAUGACACGGAAUGAUCAAUUAACUUCAUACGAGUCACGACGAGGCGUCAUUGACACAUUCGUCUCAGUCUGGCGUGGCUACUCUUCGCGGUACAAAUUCGCGUCUCAGGACAAAUGAUUUACACUUCUAGAGUGAUUUUAUUGAGCUAUGUGAAAAUAACUGCUAUGCAGCUGCAGAACCUUAUUACACGUCGUCGGUUUGGAGCAGUACUCUUCUAGAGCAUCCUUAAUAAAUUCAAAGCAAUGUCCGAACACUUGUACUAGACUUAUUGCGCUUGAUUAAGUUGAUGUUAGGAAGUCGCAAAAUUUCGCUGAGGUUACGGUUCACUUACAGAUCAACCCCUUUGAAGGGAAAUGUCAUAGUGAAGCGUCGGUUCAAUAUAGUUUGCCGAUGGCGGUGGUCAAAUACAAUGAAAAUCCAAUAUAUUGGGCCUGUAUCCAUUUAGUUUUGGGGAUUUGAAUGCACGAGUCGUGUACAGACCACGUAAAACAUAAAUGAGAUAAUUGCAACUGAGCACAACUGUGCAACUAUACAUCAUACUAACUUUCGCUACUAGCAUUGUUCAAGUGAAUACCGUCACUAGUUGGUACCCUGUUGUACACAUUUGUAACUUUUGUACCCUGUCCUGCAGGGUGGGGGAGGGAAAGUGCCGCCUCAGGCGGAUAGUAGUUCACCACAAACCGAAUACGCACUCAUUGUCACAGUCCACAGAAUUACCAUAUUUACUGCGACAAAGAAUUCCCAACUGAGCAAGGACACCAACGAUAUGCUUAUUUCCAAAAAGCCUCGGCCUGUGUGCUGCACUUGAUUCUGCUCCAUCUACCAUAGCCAGCAACGACAAAAGCAACACACCCCACUGCUCCGAUACAGUGAAAACUGUUACUCGCUGAAUGGGUAUCACGGCACAGUCAACUGGGAAAUCAUAACACCCACCAUAACUCCCAGAUCCCUGUCAAGUCCAUGUGGUCCUGAACUGCAUCAGGAAAGUGGUUCAUGGCUAUCGAAAAGAACCUCCACUCAAUUUGGAAACCAGAGAACCCUCUCUACAGCCUUACCUGUUGCAAUUCACCCGGCAAGUGUUUUUAUACUUUCUCGUGGAGCUCCUCUUCGGUUCGGGGCUCUGAUGUGGUAACGUGUAGAAUCAUCCACAACAGACACCUUACACCAACCAUCACUUCAUCUCGAUCUCGUUGCUCCUGCAGCUGUCUCAGUAACUUGGCUGUACUUAUUAGCUUUCAGUGUUUGACCGACCUGGUAGAGAGGAAUGGCAAUGAUCUACCCAGCCAGACAGACAAGGUGGCUGGAAACAAACAAGGACAAUACAGACAAAAGGACCCAACAGACAAACAAUAAGAUUAUCUUAGGGUUCACGGCAGUUAGUACAGGCUGACUAGGGCGUUGACGCAACAGCCUCUCUCACCCGGGGAUGUCCCCACGUUCUCUGUGCGAGUGCGUAGAACCCAGAUUAAAGAAUGAUUGUCUACUUAUACAUGAGCUCAAUGUGAAGUAGAAGAAGCACUUCUGUGGUAAUUUUACUUCUUAUCGUGGGAGGGGAAAACGAAAUUAGCCGACCGACGAGUAGUGUUUGCUCCAACUCGCCAUCGCAACACUAGCAACCAGUUUUUCUUUUUUCUUUUUUCCACCACACAAGUAAGCAUCAUGCAAACAUUUGCAACCUAAGAAAACAUGCUUUACGCUUCUGUUGAGCUCGAGCAAGACUAUACAGAGCUUCUGCGUUUUUUGUUAGAGCUCUUUCAGGGUAGGGUUUUCCCAAAACUCAUCACUGAUAGAUUACGUGCGCUUCCAGCAGUCCUCUAACGAGGAAAGCUCAAUGCAAUGAACCUACUGAAAGCUGCUGUAUUCUAAACACCUAUCGACACCUUUUGGUUCAAUCUACUCAAGUAAGCGGUGGAUUUCCCACUCAGCUGGGCAGUGUCAGGGUUGAAGAACGGAAGGACAUGCGAUUGCGGCUGCGUGUGGGUCACGUGCACUGCGGUACUCCCACACAGAUCCUUCGCGCGUGCGGCGUGAGAAUCACGGACAGGAGGCGGCUGGUCGGGGCCACUGCUUCACAAACGAUCACCCUCCUCACGAACUCAUUUCUUAACACAAACUUGACCCAUCAGGGAGAGGAGUUCCACCAGUCGAAGACUACACGUGAGGCAUUGCGAGUGACAGAAACAAUCGCAGCCGGGCGACGCGUCGGAAUGGAUUGCGAGCAGCGCAUUGCGCGGUCCACAGCGUCUAAACUGAGCCCAAACUGGGUUGAAGACUAUCUGUUUAAUCUAGAUUGACACUGUGUCGAUCCGAGUCCGCACUGAGAUCGACUUGAGGAAGAAUCCUGGACACCAUGAGUCGGGAUUAUACGACCCUACGACAGAUUUUUCAUCGCGCUGAAGAAUCUCCAUCGCAUCGCAUCGCAUCGAUGCAUCCAAAGUGAGACUUUGUCGUCUAGAAACUCUCCCUGCGCCGACGUGGUGUCUUCUGUAGCCACAUGAGUUGAGCUUCUGAAAAUCAUUUUGAUAUAUACACAGUGUGUAGCAAAACUGAGUCAAACUCUUGUAAUUCCCGAUUCAAACAAUAAUGCAGAGAAAUUGGCAAUAGGUCAUCAUAAAACCACAAAUUGUGCAAGAUAAUAGUUUUAGCAGACAUGAAAAAAUGUCUCAUUUACAUUAAUACGUGCAAGAAAAUUAUAUUUGAUAGAAAUUAUGUUUCUUCACUCACUUUUGCAUCCUCCAUCAUAAAAUAAUUUAAUACUUUCUCCACCUACCUUUACUAGCUAAAAUAGCUUGGAUUUGUUUUGGCAUGCUCUCAUACAACUUUCUCUACUCUAGUGUAAUAGAAUCCCAACAUUCCUCAAUAUGCUCCCACAAUUCUAAAAUUCCUAUUGGAGCACAUUGAUAUUAAUUGAGACGGUAUUUUAGCCCUACCAAAAGAUGCUCAAUUGGAUUUCAAUCACAAGACUAUGCAAACCACUUAAGAACAUUAAACUUUUGGAAUCUCAAUUAUUAGCAAAUAUUUUUUGCUAAAUGAUUGGCAUUGUUAUCAAGCUAAAAAAUCAAAUUUCAAGGGUCAAGUUCAUAUAUAUAUAGAUUUAAAUCUAAUUUUUCUUUGGUACAUUCUUUUGGUGCAAUGACCAAGCGGCGAGAAAUAAAAUCAUGUUGUGUUAUAUAUGAUGAAGAUAGUGUUAAUUCAUUAUUAAUUGAAUCCUCUAGGAUUUUUUUUCAUCAAAAAUAGCUCUUGUGGUUGGUAAUUCUUCAUAUUUUGUUAAUUGGAUAAUAUUCCUUCCUCAAUCCAACUUCUUUGCUUUACAUCUGCUUUGAUUGUUAUUAGCCAAGUUAAAUGUAGGUGUUGAUAAGGAAGUUUAUAUAAAUAGAUACAUAUAGAAAGUUAUUAAAACUACACUCUAAUUUUGUUAAAGCUACACCUUCUUUUACUACCUCAUAAUUCAAUAUGUACUUGUUUCAUGUCUCUAAUCCCAUUUCCAACCUCUAUCCCAAUCUCAUCCAUGUUUCUACUUAGUCCCUACUUCAUCACUAUCCCAAAUUUUUUAUGAAUACAAGUCAAAUUAAUUAGAAUUAUUACAAUUAUAUUGAUAUAAUUAUAACAAAUUCCAUAUAAAAAUAUAAAUAUUAUUAUAAAAUAUUUUAUUGAUACUUCAAUUUAGAAUAUUUAUUAAAAAUAUAAAUUUGGUAUAUGUAUGUAUAUAUAUGUUAAAAUUCAAUGCAAUGUAGAAUAAGAGAAAGAUAUAUAUAUAUAUAUAUAUUAUUUUAUAAUAGAAAUAAUAUAUACACAAUAAAAAAUGUUUUUAAAGUCAUUUUUUAUAUUAUUUUAUUUUUUGUAUUUUUUUUGAAGUAUAUUUAGAGCAUAACAUCUUGAAAUUCUCUAUGUGCUUUGAUAUCCUUACUAUACUUGAUAUCCUUACAAUAAACAAUAUUCUUACUAUGUUUGAUAUCCAUAUUAUGAACAAUAUUUGUACUAUGUUUGAUAUCCAUACUACGUAUAAUAUUUUCACUAUGAUGUCACUUUUAUUGAUAACAUGCUCUUGUCUUGCUUUGUAUGGUUAUCAACCUCGUUCACAUAUGAGAGGAUAUUGGAGGGUCUCAUGCAAGUAGGAAAGAAAUUCUAGGUGUCUCCCAAUUUUUCACCAAUACCUCUUCUUGCUUAGGAUUUAUUUCUUUUUCUUUUCUUUCACUUGAUAAGUGAAGGCAUUGGAGAAACAUUGUUGCAAUGGCACACGUUCUUAUUUAAGUGCUCAAACAAAUAAAGUUCCUUUUAUUGAUAAGUCUUAUUGUUAGUCUUGCUUUGUUGUAUUUGUAUUUUCUUCAAAUUUUGUUUAUUCAUACUACUGUUGAUUUAAUGUGAGUUAUUUUUGCUAGGUUUGUGGUUCUUAGUGACGCUUUUGUGAAGAUGUGAUUAUAUAAUUACUCAUACAUAUUAUUUAUUGUGUGACUCUUUGGAACAACUUAAGGACCCUAAUUCCAGGUUGAACAAAAUUCUAUUUGUGGUAGAAAUCCUAACUCUGAAAAAUAUUUUAUAUACUCUUUUUCUAAUAUACUUCUUCUAUUGCUAAAUAUUGAUGUUAGUUUUGUAAGAAAAGAAGUUUUGUGUAGGUUGUUGAAGGUCAAUAAUCUUUUUCUACUAAUAAGCCUACAGAUUUAAUCAGAGAUUGGAAAAAAAUAAAAAAAUAAAAAAUAGAAGCUAUGGAUCAUUGGAAUAUCUUGAUAUUUGUUAAGAUAUAGAAAGAAUUACAAAAUAAGUAUAUUAUCUUCAGGUAUAGGUAAUAGCUUCCUAUGAACAGUUGAGAUAGAUUUAAACAUAAAGAUGAGUUGAUCUCACAUUUUCUAUUAGCUUCUUGUGCCAUAUUUUAUUGACUAGCUUAGUGGAUAAAUCAACUAUUUGUUCUUUAGUAUAAAUAUAUAAAACUUUUAUUAUACCAAGUUGUGUUUUUCUUGAUAAAAUAAAUAAAAUUUCUAUAUGUUUGGUUCUUGCAUGUAAUAUUGGAUUGGCUACCAAUUUAAUGCACCCUUGAUUAUCAUUUAUAAUAGGUGUUAUUGCUUUUAGUUGUAUAUAUAGAUCUUUGAAUAAUUUCCUUAACCAUGUAAUGUUCUUGGUAAUUUCAGAUAUUCUACUAUGAUUGUAGAUAACGUAACAAUAUCUUGUAGUUUUGAAAUCUAGUUAAGAGAUGAAGUAUCAAUCAUAUAUAAGAGACUUAAAGUAGCACUUCUUAGAUCAACAUCACAUCUUCAAUCAAUAUUAAUAUAAGUAAUAAGAUUUCUAAGUUUAUUUUUUAAAUAAUAAAUUCUUAGAUUAAUUGUUCUUCUUAAAUGUCUCAAUAUACAUAUUUAUGCUUUAUAGUGAGGUUUUUGUAGUGAUGUAUAAUACCUAAUUAUAUUAUUGACUAUUAUUGUAUUACAUGAAGUCUACUUGAAAAUGUAUUAGACAUGUGGCUAUAGAGGAAAAAAUGGAGCUCACAAUAAGAUGACUCUAAUAACUCUAAUAGAAUAUUAAAUAAAAUUUAAUCAAAUUAUAACAAUGUUAAUCAAUCUUUAAUUAAAUCCAAAAGAAAUCUCAAGAACUUAAAAAAUAAACAUAAAGAAAUUAUAACUUAAUCUUAAUAAAGAAUAUAUAAUAAAAAAUAUUAAAGAAAUAUAAAAAAUAAAAAUCCUAAUUGAAUCCUAAUCAAACCUUUAUAUUAUCCUAAAAAAAUCCUAAUGUAAUCUUCAAAAAUUCUUAAUAAAAUCUUAAAUUAAUUCCAACUAAACCUUAAUAAAAUCAUAAAUCCUAAAUAAAUCUUAAUUAAAUGCUAAACAAAUUCUAAAUCCUAAUUUAUUCCAAAUCUUAAUUAAAUCCUAAAUCCUAAUCCUAGAUCAAAUUCCAAUCAAAUCCUAUUAAAUCUUAAAUAAAUCUUAAUCAAAUCUUAAAUCCACCAAAUACAUUAUUAACUUUAAAAAUCUCUCAAAAUUUCAAUAUUAAUUCAAAUAACAUGAAAUCAAUAUUAAAAAAAAAACCCUCAAGUCUCUUCUCAAAUCUAGCUUUAUAAUUUGCAAAAGAAUCUUGAAGUUACUAUAGGUGCUCUGUGUGUGCCUUAAAAUUUGAUUUUGACCCUAAUUGGCAAUUGGUCCUCUCUAGGUAUCAAUUCUUAUCUUCUUGAGGUAAUGUUUUGCUAAAAUCAACUUCUAACUUCUUCCUACAUAUACCUAUAUCCUUUAUUUUUUUAAUAUACCUUAUUUUUUCUUAUUUAUGGUUCUACAAAAUAAAUAGAAUUAAAUUUCAUAAAAGACAGUUCUAAAAUUAAUAGAUUUUACUACCAACCUAUCAUUUAUUUAUGUUUUUUUACUGUAUAUUUUUAAUUAGGUUCUUCUUUAAUAAUUUUUUUUUUUUUUUUCACCUAAUGGCUAUAUUAUUACAUGACACCACAAAAUUGAUAUUAAGUAUUUCAACAUUUGAUAAAUACAAGAAACUUUCAACAAGUCUUAUGUACUUAGUUUCAUUAACUAAUUUUCCUUCCAUUUCAUUCUAAAAUUUUAAGCUUGUAUCUAUUAGAAUUGCACAAGAAUUUCCAUCAUAUAUACCAAAUCUAUUAAGGAUGAAAUUUACAUAGUUUUUCUAAUGAAGAAUUAUACCAUAUUCAAAGUGUUUAAACUCUACAUCCAAAUAAGUUUGAAUUAUUUUCAUGCUUGUCAUUUCAACUCUGAUUGUAAUUGUUUUUUUAAUUUCUAAUAUUUUUUUGUAUCAUUUCAUAUAAUUGUUAAAUCAUCAACAUAUAAAAGUAAAAGAAUAUUUUUUUUUCAUGAUAAAAAAUAUAAAAAUUAAAGAUCUGCAUUUGAUUUUUAUAAUCCAAGCUUUUGUAGGUACUUAUCAAUCUUUCUAUACCAAAUACAAGAAGACUAUCAAAGACUAUGUAAAGUUCAUUUGAAUUUUUAAAUCCUUUUGUUGGUUCCAUAUUCUUCAAAACCAUGUGGAAUUUUUAUAUAUACUUUUUUUUUUCUAGAAUAUCAUUUUAAAGUAUAAUUUUAAUAUUAUAAUACUUUAUUUUUUAUUCAUAAGAUGAAAUUAAUGUUGUAAUUUUUUUAAUAGUAUUCUAUCUUAUAAUAUAAGCAAAGAUUUCAAAGAAGUCUUUUAUUUCUUAUUAUUCAAAGCCAUAUGCAACCAAUUAUGUCUUAUAUUUUUUAGGAUUUCCUUCAACUCCAAUCUUCUUUUUAGUAAUCCAUUUACAUGUUUUGGUUUUCUCUUAGGUGGUAAGUCACAUGUUUUUAAUGUAUUAUUUAUUUUAUACUUUUGAUUUCUUAUUCAACAGCCUCUUUCCACUUCUUGUUUUUACUUGCUUUAAAAUAAUCUAUAGGAUUUUAUUUAGAAUAUAUAAUUAGAAACCAACUAUUUCAAAGCUUAGUAAAAGAUUGUCUAUACCUUUCCAUCUUUCUUCUUGUUGAAAGUUAUUUUGCUGGAGAUAGAGAAGCACAUGACAUUGGUGACUAUGCAACUAACAAUUGUUCUAUAGUUUCCAAGGAUGUUUGUGGAUAAAACAAUAAGAUUUCUAUUUCCUUAUUUUGAAUUUUUCGUUAUUCUAUUGAUGAUAAAUCUUCUUUUGAAUUGUUGACCAAUCUAAAAAAUAUGUCUUUAAAUUCUUCAUUUUUGUUAUUAUUUUCAAUAUUUUGAUAAUCAAUCUUAAAUUUAUUAAAGCUAAUAUCUCUAGUAAUGAUAAUUUUUCUUUUGAAGGAUCUUAAAAAAAAUAUGCUUUGUUAUUAGAGUUAUAGCCAAAAAAUAUACAUUUCUUUGUUUUACUUUCAAAUUUUGAGUUUUUUUUUUUUUUUUUUUUUUUUUUUAACAUGAAGAUAAGUAACACAACUAAAAAAAUUUAAGUAGUAUACUUUAGGUUUUCUUUUGUAGUAUAAUUCAAAAGGUGUUUUGGCAUUAAUAGCAUUUUUAGGACAUAUAUUUAUAAGAUAUUUUUUUAGUAUUAAUUGCUUUAAGCCAUAGAAUAGAAGGUAAUGUAUUCUCAUUUAAAAGACUUCUAGCCUUUUUCACAAUAAUUGUAUUGCGUCUCUUAGUAAUGCUAUUUUGCUAAGAGAUUAGUGCUUGAGUUAGUUGUCUUAUUAUGCCAUAUUUUUGACAAUAUUCUUGAAAUUUUUGUGAUAAAAAUUCACUUCUUUUGUUGGUCUUUAGAGUCAAGAUUUUUUCAACAAUUUCUUUUUUCACUUAUAUUUUGAAUGCACAUAAUUUUGAGAAUACUUCAUCAUUGGAUUCUAGAAAAUAAAUCCAACUUCUUCAAUAAUAAUCAUCAGUGAAGAUAGAAAAAUACUUGAAGCUAUUUAGAAAAGGUUUAAAAAUAGAUCUGAUUAGGUCAGCAUAAAUUAAUUGAUCUUUUUAUUUGUAUAAUUUUUUUUUAAACUUAAAUAUGCUAGAUAUUUAAGUUUGUUGUGCCAUAGUUUAGUUUUCUAUGAUAGUAGAGUUCACAAUAAGUAUAGUUUGAUUGAUACAAUAUAAUCUAUUUUCAAAUUCUUGAUAUCUAGUAAUAAUAAUCUUUUGCUCUCUUUUUUUGUCAAUAAUCUAAUAUUUGUUGGCUGAAAAUAUUAGAAUAUUUCCUAUGUCUCCAAAAGAGCCUAUUAACAACAAAAUUUUCUUUAUAGAAGGUACAAAGGUGGAAUCAAGACAAGGUGGAAACAUAGUGGGGACAAGAAGUGGAUACAAUAGCUAGCAACAAUAGUUAAGAACAAAAUUGGAGACAUGAGAUGUAUAUAGAAUAAAUCAUGAAGUAAUAAAGAAAGGUGUGUUUUUAAUAACUUUUUAUAUAUAAAAAAAUAUUAAAAUAACCUAUGAUUUUAUUAAAUCGAUUCAUCGAUUAUCACAAAGCAUAAAAAUAUCAAUCUCAUUUAUAGUAUCAUUACUCAAAUCCCAUUUUAGAUUGUUAUAAUAAUGAUUUAUUUAAAAUAGAAUUGUUAUAAUAUGUAUGACAAGCUUUAAAACCUCUUUUACAAUUGCUGUUAUUUUUUUCCAAAAAGAAACUGAAGUUUUUUUUUGUUGGGUCUUGACUCAACUUCUCCAACUAUAUGGAAAUAUUAGACCUAUGUGCAUUGGAUUUUAUAGAGAUUUGGCAUUAAUAAAUGCCAUUAAAAAUAAUUUUCCUACUUUUAAUUUUUCACUUUGCAUAUGGCACAUUCAAAAAAAUCAUUUAGCAAAUUACAAGAAAUAGAUUACCACAAUUAUAUAAAUAGAUUAAUCUACAUUUUUAGCAGAUUGAACCAAUUUCGUAAAUGUUUCUUCUGAGGCGCUUUAAAUGAAGAGUGGAUUUCUCUUUCUACCAAGUAUACUCCUCUCAAACCCCAUUUAGCUGUCAAGUAUUUGCAAAAUAAUUAGAUACCACAAAAAAAAAAAAAAAAAAAAAAAAAACCUUUUGAUCAAGUUUAGAUAAAUAAUUUUUAUUUUGGAAGUGUAACUACUUCUUAAGUUGAGAGUCAACAUUCAACUUUCAAAUCUUAUUUAAGGAUUUCUAUUAAAGAUUCACAAGAAAUUGGUCUAUUUUAAUUUUUUUAAAUACAACAAGAGAGAUUAAUGCACAAGAAAGUUUAAAAAGGAUUCAUAUAUGUUAUCAACAUACCAUUUUUUAUUUUAUAAAUGUAAUGAAAUGAGUAUCAAUAUAUGCACUCAAACUUACCUUUGAAGAGUUUAAAUGUACAAAAGAGGUUUUUAAUAUUAAUUUUUGCACAUAUAUAUUGACAAAGAUAUUAAGAAUAAUAUAUAAGCAUAAAAUUCAAAAUAUGCAGCACACUAGAAGUACUUUUUCAAUGGAAGAGUUUCAUGCUCAAUAUUAUUUACUCAAUAUUAUUGGUCUAACAUCUCCUUUACUACUGCAAAAUAUAUUUUCAUCUUCUAAAGACCUUCACAUUAUCUUUGAUGAUGUUGAUCAAACUUUUGAGUUACUACCACCGUACCAAAAAAGAAAGAAAGAAAGAAAAUAAUAAUAAUAAUAAUAAUGCAUGCUCAACUAUAAGAGUUAGCAUCAACAACUAUGCAAAUAGAAAAUCCAAAAAUUAGUUGACCAAAAGGCGGAUCAUACAAAGCAUCUAAUUAUACAAGACACAACAAAUGCUCUACACAACAUAUAGCUUCACAAUUCAAAGUUGUUGAAGCAACAACAAAUGUUUGGUAUUGUAAGAAUUGCUAAGAUCAUGGACACAACAUGUGCACUUGUCCUAUCCAAAAUAUGAUUGUUUUACAAGGCUUUACAUGUUCAUCUCACUAAUAAUGAAAUAUAUAAUAGCUAUGUGUAAUUUUUUAUUUAAAAAAUAGACUAACUUGUGUGAGGGUGGUGAGAAAUUAAUUUGUUCAGACAUGAGAAGAGAGAGCGUGGUCAAGAUUGUGUAAGAUAUAUUCUUUCAACUCUUACACAAAUUGACAUAUAUGUGCAUUUAUUUGGCAAAUUUAGCAUAACAUGCAUAGACAUACAUACAAUCUUUAAAUAGAGCAUAAGAUUACAGAAAUAAUACCUACGCAAUUUGUUUUUCAUGAUGGUUAGAAUUGGAGGGUCAAUUUAGUAAAAUCCUACGUCAUUUUAUCAUAUUAUAUCCAACAAAAUCAACCAAAGGUUUUAUAAUGGUCCUCUUUAGUGAAUUAUAAGCAUUUAGAAGUUAGGAUAUUUUUGAAAUUUUGGAAAUGAUUUAUUUGUAAAAAAAAUGAAUAUUAUGAUUAUUAUAAAUGGAUAUAUGUAUGGAUAUAUGUAUGUACAUCUCAAAAGAAAAAUGUAUAGUAUUUUUUUAGUAUAAUUUUUUAAAAUUAAACAAUCAAUUAGAAUUUUUAAUUUUUGUCUCUUAAUUCUUUUAAUAAAAUAAAUUUAGCUAAUUUUUAUCAUCACAAUACAUAUCAUUAUUUGAAAAAUAUAAAUCUUGCAUCUUCAAAAUAUUAUUAUAAAAUCAUGAUUAUUUCCAAAACUAUAUGAAUAGCCAAAGUCUUGACCUCUUUAUGUAAUGAUGAACAUUUUUAUUUUUUUUUGCAGUUUUUUUUAAAAAUUAUCCUCAAAAAUAGUGCAAAGAUGUUUCAUUUUAAGACAAUAUCUUAAUCAUGUCUUGGAAUAUUUAUCUUCAAAACACUAUCAUAAAAAGUGACAUGAUUGUAUGUAAUGUUUUCAUAUAUUUUAAAUUAAAUAUAAUGUUUAUAUGUUGGAAUUAGAUUUGAAAUAAAAUGCUAAUCAACAUCAUGGUUUAUUAUCAUUAACAUCAUUUUUGUAAAUAUAAAGGUGUUUGGAAAAGCAAUAAGAUAAACAUAU
rnacentral:lncRNA from 1 species